GCAGUUAGUAGAUUGUAGAGUAGCCUGAAUAGCUGAAUAGGUAGACUAGUCUAACUCUGAGGCUGUAAAAAUGGAUGUGAAGGAUGCCUAACCUGAGAACUACCAAAUCUAAAUCGAGAACUACUAUGUCUCCUACAAAAUCUACCCUGAUACUUAGGCUUGUUAUAAUGACCUCAUGAUGCAUAUCCUCCAUUUGUCUGGAAUGAUCAAAACAUCAACAAAAG
rnacentral:lncRNA from 1 species